GAUGAACGCUGGCGGCGUGCCUAAUACAUGCAAGUCGAGCGAACAGACCAGGCGCUUGCUCCUCUGACGUUAGCGGCGGACGGGUGUGUAACACGUGUAUAACCUACCUAUAAGACUGGUAUAACUUCGGGAAACCGGAGCUAAUACCGGAUAAUAUAUUGAACCGCAUGGUUCAAUAGUGAAAGACGGUUGUGCUGGCACUUAUAGAUGGAUCCGCGCCGCAUGAGAUAGUUGUUAAGGUAACGGCUUACCAAGGCAACGAGGCGUAUACGACCUGAGGGGGUGAUAGGCCACACUGGAACUGAGCCAGGGUCCAGGCUCCUACGGGAGGCAGCAGUAGGGAAUCUUCCGCAAUGGGCGAAAACCUGACGGAGCAGCGCCGCGUGAGUGAUGAAGGUCUCCGGAUCGUAAAACUCUGUUAUGAGGGAAGAACAACUGUGUAAGUAACUAUACACGUCUUGACGGUACCUAAUAAGAAAGCAACGGCUAACUACGUG
rnacentral:rRNA from 1 species